GCAUAUCAAUAAGCGGAGGAAAAGAAACCAACAGGGAUUGCCUUAGUAACGGCGAGUGAAGCGGCAAUAGCUCAAAUUUGAAAUCUGGCGCUUGCGUCCGAGUUGUAAUUUGCAGAGGAUGAUUUUGGUUAGGUACCUUCCGAGUUCCUUGGAACAGGACGCCUUAGAGGGUGAGAGCCCCGUACGGUUGGAUGCCGAGCCUUUGUAAAUCUCCUUCGACGAGUCGAGUAGUUUGGGAAUGCUGCUCUAAAUGGGAGGUAAAUUUCUUCUAAAGCUAAAUACCGGCCAGAGACCGAUAGCGCACAAGUAGAGUGAUCGAAAGAUGAAAAGCACUUUGAAAAGAGGGUUAAAUAGCACGUGAAAUUGUUGAAAGGGAAGGAUUUAUGACCAGACUUUUUCUAGGAGGAUCAUCCGGUGUUCUCACCGGUGCACUUCUUCUAGUCUAGGCCAGCAUCGACUUUCGGCGGUGGAUAAAAGCUUUGGGAAUGUGACUCCUUUCGGGGAGUGUUAUAGCCUAUUGUAUAAUACACUGCUGGGGGUCGAGGUACGCGCUUCUGCAAGGAUGCUGGCGUAAUGGUUAUCAAUCACCCGUCUUGAAACACGGACCAAGGAGUCGAACAUUUGUGCAAGUGUUUGGGUGUUAAACCCUCACGCGUAAUGAAAGUGAACGGAGGUGAGAGCCCUUACGGGUGCAUCAUCGACCGAUCCUGAUGUUUUCGGAUGGAUUUGAGUAAGAGCAUAACUGUUCGGACCCGAAAGAUGGUGAACUAUGCGUGGAUAGGGUGAAGCCAGAGGAAACUCUGGUGGAGGCUCGCAGCGGUUCUGACGUGCAAAUCGAUCGUCAAAUCUGCGCAUGGGGGCGAAAGACUAAACGAACCAUCUAGUAGCUGGUUACCGCCGA
rnacentral:rRNA from 1 species